rnacentral:rRNA from 1 species
AUUGAACGCUGGCGGCAGGCCUAACACAUGCAAGUCGAACGAGUGGCGGACGUGUGAGUAAUGUCUGGGAAACUGCCUGGUGGAGGGGGAUAACUACUGGGAACGGUAGCUAAUACCGCCUUCCUUCAUAUGUGCCCAAAUGGGUUUAGCUUGUUGGUGGGGUAACGGCGCACCAAGGCGACUAUCCCUAGCUGGUCGGAGAGGAUGACCAGCAACACUGGAACUGAGACACGGUCCAGACGCCUACGGGAGGCAGCAGUGGGGAAUAUUGCACAAUGGGCGAAAGCCUGAUGCAGCCAUGCCGCGUGUAUGAAGAAGGCCUUCGGGUUGUAAAGUACUUUCAGCUGGGAGGCGUUACCAGCAGAAGAAGCACCGGCUAACUCCGUGCCAGCAGCCGCGGUAAUAC